GACGAACGCUGGCGGCGUGCUUAACACAUGCAAGUCGAACGGAAAGGCCCUGCUUGCAGGGUACUCGAGUGGCGAACGGGUGAGUAACACGUGGGUGAUCUGCCCUGCACUUCGGGAUAAGCCUGGGAAACUGGGUCUAAUACCGGAUAGGAGCCAUUUUUAGUGUGAUGGUUGGAAAGUUUUUUCGGUGUAGGAUGAGCUCGCGGCCUAUCAGCUUGUUGGUGGGGUAAUGGCCUACCAAGGCGGCGACGGGUAGCCGGCCUGAGAGGGUGGACGGCCACAUUGGGACUGAGAUACGGCCCAGACUCCGACGGGAGGCAGCAGUGGGGAAUAUUGCACAAUGGGCGCAAGCCUGAUGCAGCGACGCCGCGGGGGGGAUGACGGCCUUCGGGUUGGAAACUCCUUUCGCUAGGGACGAAGCUUUUUGUGACGGUACCUAGAGAAGAAGCACCGGCUAACUACGUG
rnacentral:rRNA from 1 species